GGGCAAAUCAAAGAAGUUGGAAUC
rnacentral:siRNA from 1 species